AGAGUUUGAUCAUGGCUCAGAACGAACGCUGGCGGCAGGCUUAACACAUGCAAGUCGAACGCACCGCAAGGUGAGUGGCAGACGGGUGAGUAACGCGUGGGAACGUGCCCUUCAGUUCGGGAUAACCCAGGGAAACUUGGGCUAAUACCGGAUACGUGCGAGAGCAGAAAGAUUUAUCGCUGAAGGAUCGGCCCGCGUCUGAUUAGCUAGUUGGUGGGGUAAUGGCCCACCAAGGCGACGAUCAGUAGCUGGUCUGAGAGGAUGAUCAGCCACAUUGGGACUGAGACACGGCCCAAACUCCUACGGGAGGCAGCAGUGGGGAAUAUUGGACAAUGGGCGCAAGCCUGAUCCAGCCAUGCCGCGUGAGUGAUGAAGGCCUUAGGGUUGUAAAGCUCUUUCGUCCGGGACGAUAAUGACGGUACCGGAAGAAGAAGCCCCGGCUAACUUCGUGCCAGCAGCCGCGGUAAUACGAAGGGGGCUAGCGUUGCUCGGAAUCACUGGGCGUAAAGGGCGCGUAGGCGGCCUGAUAAGUCGGGGGUGAAAGCCUGUGGCUCAACCACAGAAUUGCCUUCGAUACUGUCGGGCUUGAGACCGGAAGAGGUAAGUGGAACUGCGAGUGUAGAGGUGAAAUUCGUAGAUAUUCGCAAGAACACCAGUGGCGAAGGCGGCUUACUGGUCCGGUUCUGACGCUGAGGCGCGAAAGCGUGGGGAGCAAACAGGAUUAGAUACCCCCGUAGUCC
rnacentral:rRNA from 1 species